UACGUAGGGUGCGAGCGUUAAUCGGAAUUACUGGGCGUAAAGCGUGCGCAGGCGGUCUGUUAAGUCCGAUGUGAAAUCCCCGGGCUUAACCUGGGAACUGCAUUGGUGACUGGCAGGCUUUGAGUGUGGCAGAGGGAGGUAGAAUUCCACGUGUAGCAGUGAAAUGCGUAGAGAUGUGGAGGAAUACCGAUGGCGAAGGCAGCCCCCUGGGUUAACACUGACGCUCAGGCACGAAAGCGUGGGGAGCAAACAGG
rnacentral:rRNA from 1 species